UUCAAAGAUAUCUUUAAGGUUAUUUUUGUAGCCUGAUAAAUCUUAUUUAAGAUUAUAUUUUGUUUUAUUGCAAAAAAUGAAAUGAAAUGGUCAGCCCUACCCAUUUAAAGACAUGCUGUGUAAAUUUGGGAGUUAGGGGGGGGAGCGGUUCAGUUAAAAAAAAUCCGUAAUUUUUAAAAUUUUCAUUUUAAGUGUAAAUAAAAACAAUGUCAACAAGCAAUGGUUAUGGUAAAAAAUCUCAUCGUGAAGUUUUUCUUGUUGGAAAAAGAAUCGGAACAAUACCUAUCACACAAUUGCUAACUAAAAGAACUGUAUUGCAAUAUUACCAUUACAUUGAUCUUAUACUAAGAGCUGAUUUUCCAAACAUUUCAUCAGUUAGUAUAGCUUCAUGUCCACUUGGUGAUUUCUUUACUGCACAGUGUGCUGAAAUAGGUGGUUGUCUCCAAAAAUGUUUACCAUGCGUCCUUUAUGAGGUGAAGAAAAUUUGGCUAAAAGCAGGAAUUCCUUUUGUUAAUACUGACAAGCAUAUCAGAGACAAGAUUGUUGACUUAGAAAAGAAGAGAAAAGAUUUAGACAAACACAGGAAUCGUUUAAGUAAAAAUUUAGUUUUAAAAAGAGAAACUUUUUCAAGAAUGCUAGAGGAAGUAUUCGAUGUAAGUCAAAACAAUUGUGAACAUACUAAUAUGAAAGAUAAAACUAAAGAUUUAAAAACUAGAAGAGUGGAUGCAGAUUUUCUUAACGACCAGAAAGGAGCGUGUGUUCAGUAAAUGUUGGGUAAAGAUAAAAUUUCACAAAAUGUUGUAAAAAAUAAAAGAAAAAGAGAAAUGAAAAAAAAAAAUAAAUCAAAGUAUAAAAGAGACCAUAAUAAAACAGAAAGAGUUGGUUACUGAGAAAUUUGAUGACACAAUGAAAAAUUUAAAUACUUUAGAUAAUGACCAAGAUGAACAGUAUCUACAACCUUCUAUAAAAAUUAAAAAAUCUAAUGCUGUUCCUCUUAUAGUUCCUAAAAAUAUAGGAAAAGAUUUAGCUCCAACAGCAUCACGAUAUGGAAUAUGUUUGACUGCACUGAGUGCAACUCUUGCUUCUCUUAUAAAUAACAGUUCUAUAACAACAGAUGAUUUUUCAAGUAUAAAAAAUCAAGUAUAAGUACAACUGCCUGUAAAAUUAAAGACAACUUUAUUAUAUUGGCUGAGGGUAAAAGUCUUACCGUGCAUUUUGACUCCAAAAUUAUGGUAGAAUUGAGAGAAAUUGGUAAAGAAAAAGUUGAAAGAUUAGCUGUGCUAAUCAGUUCACCAGAUCUUUCAGAAUCCCAACUUUUGGGUAUUUCAAUUGUAAAAGAUGGCACUGCUGAGUCUCUUGGGAAAGCAAUCAAAAAAACUUUACAAGACUGGGAGCUAUUUGACUAUGUUGAUUGUCUGUCCUUUGACACCACAGUCACAAAUACUGGUUGGCUAAAAGGUCAAUAAGAGUCUGUACUCUUAUUGAGCAGUAGAGAGGAAAAGCUUUGAUUUGGAUGGCUUGUCAUCAUCAUGUCUACGAAUUUCAUAUGCACUUUUCAAGUGUUCUUACUGGAGGUAAAACAAGUGGACCAAAUACUGAGUUAUUUGAAAGGCUAAAGUGUAAUUGGAAAUCGAUUCUUGAAAAGAAGAUAAAUUCUGAUAACUUAAAGAGAUUUGACUCAGAAAAAAAAAUUAAAUCUUUUUUGGAAAAGCAGGCUUCUGAAUCAUUAACAUUCCUUCAAAAUUGCCUCGAUAAUGAUAUAUUUCCAAGAAAUGACUACAAGUAUUUUAUACAGUUAGCAGUUCUUUGGUUAGGUGGCAAAGUAAAAGAUUUUCACUUUAGAUUUCCAAUGGCUUCACAUCAUGCCAGGUUUAUGGCACAGGGCGUUUAUUAUUUAACAUACGACAUUCUACAGCCACAAUUCAGUAACUUAUGUCCUGAUAUAAUAUCAUUACAAGAGGGAAAGCUGAUCCAUGAAAUUGGUUCAUUUACAGCACUACUUUAUGUUCCAUAAUUUAUUAAAGCUCCUAUCCCUGCCAUAGCACCUUCUUUAGAUCUAAAAGCCAUUAAUGAAAUGAUACAAUAUUCUGAAUUAUGUCUUAAACCAGCAGAGGCCGUACUAAAGUCACUU